GACGAACGCUGGCGGCGUGCUUAACACAUGCAAGUCGAACGGAAAGGCCCUUCGGGGUACUCGAGUGGCGAACGGGUGAGUAACACGUGGGUGAUCUGCCCUGCACUUUGGGAUAAGCCUGGGAAACUGGGUCUAAUACCGAAUAGGACCACGCGCUUCAUGGUGUGUGGUGGAAAGCUUUUGCGGUGUGGGAUGGGCCCGCGGCCUAUCAGCUUGUUGGUGGGGUAAUGGCCUACCAAGGCGACGACGGGUAGCCGGCCUGAGAGGGUGACCGGCCACACUGGGACUGAGAUACGGCCCAGACUCCUACGGGAGGCAGCAGUGGGGAAUAUUGCACAAUGGGCGGAAGCCUGAUGCAGCGACGCCGCGUGAGGGAUGACGGCCUUCGGGUUGUAAACCUCUUUCACCAGGGACGAAGCGUAAGUGACGGUACCUGGAGAAGAAGCACCGGCCAACUACGUG
rnacentral:rRNA from 1 species